UCUCUUCAGGCAAAACGGAAAAGGCUGCAGCCAAACAGGCAGGACCCCGACUCAACAAGUCAGCAGACCUCAGGGAGCAGGUCACACGGGUCCCAGGGUUCAGGUGAGCCAGCGUCAGUCACCACAACGUCACAAAACUAAUUCUAUUCCUCUCAUUCAGCCUUUUUAGGCUAAAAUCAUGAAGCAGAAAUGAAAACCAGAUCCACAGCCGGACUGUGGAUCAUCCUGUCAGUCUAAAAUCAGGG